rnacentral:tRNA from 1 species
GCGGGCGUGGCGGAAUUGGUAGACGCGUCAGGUUUAGGUCCUGGUGGCCUUUGGUCGUGGGGGUUCAAGUCCCUCCGCCCGCACCA